rnacentral:lncRNA from 1 species
UCAUGAACUCCUUCAUUACUUCGAAAAUCGCAGAUCUGUUAUCAGCAAGUCACUUAUCCGUAAGCAUUCCCUUCCUUUUCACGUUCUAUAACUCGUCCCUAGUAUUUUAUGUACCCUUAAAAUAUGUAUGUGUUGCAUGCGCGUUUUGAACAGCACGUGUGUACCUGUAGGCACUAACACAAACAUUCUUCAACUCUAAAUUUACAUUGCAGUUUCAUGCAGCUAUUACAGAAAUGCAAAUUCAAAUCGUCAAGGUUAGAUGAACUGAAUUAGAAAGAAAGGCAGUGUUCGAAACUCACAGGCGCCAACGCGCCAAAUGCGCCUAAGAAAUCGGUCAUGGCGCUUACAUAAGAAAGGCUCUGCGCCAACGUGGCCCCUAAAAAUUGCCCCUCCACCUCCAAAAAAAUGCCGUUUUUCUGUGUGGUGAUUUUUCGGAAUUUCUCCCCAAGUUACAGUUAUUAGUUAUGUUACUAAAACAUCAUGCGUCUAACUUUUGAUUCAAUGCGCCGUGAUAUGUAGGCAACAAGUCAAUUUUGCCCCUAAAAAAUCUUCAAUGGCCCCUGAAAAUCGUGCUUGAUGCGCCACCUGGUUCCUGAAACUCAGAGGUGAGUUUCGGACACUGGAAAGGACCCAAGUUAUAUUUUGAAACGCAAUUAAGUAGUAAUAAUCCUAAGUUCAACCUUAUAUUCUCCUGUCAAGAAAUGAUGUUUGUAAAUUAUAUUUUCUAUUUCUCAUUUUUAUUUUUUCUUAUAAUAUCUAAAUUCAGUCUCACAGAGGAGUGAAAUCUUGUUCAGAUUUGGCUCCCUUCUUUUAGGCCCAGUUCUAUCACCGCUCGUUACGGGUUUAUCCUCGGGUUAAAAUUUGCGAAGCACUCUCAGCACCUUGUCACAUUUGAAUCCGAAGUUCAAGCUCUUGGUUCCAAAAUGUUCCACCAGAACCGUAAUUUUCAUGCGGACUGUGAAGUAUAAUAUUCCACAGAAUACCGUUGAAAGUUUGCAUCGACCAGAGUUCAAAAACCGUGGUUGGUAGAACUGGGCUUGAAACUAGGUCCAAACGCUACCGAGAAAAGAGAUUGGUAGAAU